GCUGAGCAACACGGGCUCCUCGCAGGAGGAGAGCAGAUGGGGGUCUGCCACCACGAGCAGGGAAUGCAGCUGGAUUGUAACCCCAAGCCUCUUUCUCCUAGAGGGAGCCACAGAGUCCUGUUUGAUCUCGCUUGGGCAACUUGAAUUCAGAUUGAAGUGACGUUAUUUUUAGGAAUCUCUCAUCCCUCUAAAAAUAUUUCCUUUCAGAGUAUAUAAUUCCUGCUAUUAAGUUUUCAAAUUUUCAGUAAACAUAUGUGCGUAUAUAUAUAAUUUGCCACUCUCUUUCAUUUCCACAACAGCCUAAUUUCCUGCUAUUGGUAUUAUUAAAAGUAAAAUGCCAAAUUGGAAGUGAGACAGAAUUAUGCCAGACAAGAAGUACAUAACAACCCCCUUUUUUUU
rnacentral:lncRNA from 1 species